UGGGGAAUAUUGCACAAUGGACGCAAGCCUGAUGCAGCCAUGCCGCGUGUGUGAAGAAGGCCUUCGGGUUGUAAAGCACUUUCAGCGGGGAGGAAGGCGAUAAGGUUAAUAACCUUGUCGAUUGACGUUACCCGCAGAAGAAGCACCGGCUAACUCCGUGCCAGCAGCCGCGGUAAUACGGAGGGUGCAAGCGUUAAUCGGAAUUACUGGGCGUAAAGCGCACGCAGGCGGUCUGUCAAGUCGGAUGUGAAAUCCCCGGGCUCAACCUGGGAACUGCAUUCGAAACUGGCAGGCUAGAGUCUUGUAGAGGGGGGUAGAAUUCCAGGUGUAGCGGUGAAAUGCGUAGAGAUCUGGAGGAAUACCGGUGGCGAAGGCGGCCCCCUGGACAAAGACUGACGCUCAGGUGCGAAAGCGUGGGGAGCAAACAGG
rnacentral:rRNA from 1 species